rnacentral:rRNA from 1 species
UACGUAGGGGGCAAGCGUUGUCCGGAAUCCUUGGGCGUAAAGAGCUCGUAGGCGGCUUGGCAAGUCGGGUGUGAAAACUCCAGGCUCAACCUGGAGACGCCACCCGAUACUGCCAUGGCUAGAGUCCGGUAGGGGACCACGGAAUUCCUGGUGUAGCGGUGAAAUGCGCAGAUAUCAGGAGGAACACCGGUGGCGAAGGCGGUGGUCUGGGCCAAUAUUGACGCUGAGGUGCGAAAGCGUGGGGAGCAAACAGG